GUUCUUUUAUCCCAGGACUGCAAUUUCACUCUAACACAGGCAAGAAGCAUCACACUACAACCAAGAAAAGUAAGAAAUGACCGGUUUUAACUGCCCAAAUGACACCAGGUAAUUGAACUCACAUUGGAGCCUCUCACAUUAACUGUGUGAAAACAGCUUUCCAUCUACUUUUAUCAAAAGAGUGAGCCCUGCAUCUCCCCAAGGCUGGGGCAGCGGCACGUCAGCAACACAAGCUCUCUUCCUGGCUCAGAAGCUGCACCUACCACUCAUGCUCUCAUCCUCCAGCUCACAGUAAAAGGCAGACUGUAGAAAAUACCUCUAAUACACAAUUGCAGCUUUUCUUUUUUAAUUAUUUUUUUAUUUUUUUAAAGCAAACCAGCAAAACCUGUGUUUGAGGGAGCAUCGGCAAGCAUACACAGAGCGACUGGCAGUCAGCUUCCCUCGGAGCAAUACGUAGCGAUUGUUUGUUUAUUGUUGUCACGCUAGUUUUGAGGAAUCUUAACCAAGAUGAUGGCCUCAUUUUGCUGUACAAACACGUACAAGAAAGCAAGCUAUAUUGCAAAUACAGUAACCUGACAUGUGAAAAGAAGCCCUGACAACCUGAGUUGACGGGUGGAGAGCGGAAGGCGAAGUGACAAACCCAAGGUCACCCUGAGCCUGUGGAAAAAGGGCUAUAAGCACUGUCUAGACAUGCUGGUCAGACCAGUCUGUGCUUCUGCUGACAAGUUUGGGGGAUAAAAAUUAAUGUACUUAAUCUGAAGAGUAUGAGCUUUCAUCUGUUAAGGAGGAGAACCAGACGCCUUCAGUAGGAAAGAAAAACAUACCUCAAGAUGUUUAAUGGACACACCAGGAGAGAGGAAUUAUAAAAUAUUUCUGACUAUCUCUCUGAUACAUUGAGAAGAAUUUGUAUUCUGCAGCAGAAUACAGGACAGUUUGUGCUACUUUCUUGUAAUAAAACACCAUAAAGAAACAAAUGGUAAUUAUGUGCACUUCCUUUAUAUGCAGCUGAGAGAUACCUUUAAAUACUGUGACAGCUUGCUAAUGUACCACUGUAU